rnacentral:misc_RNA from 1 species
GAUGAAGAACGUAGCGAAAUGCGAUAAGUAGUGUGAAUUGCAGAAUUCAGUGAAUCAUCGAAUCUUUGAACGCACAUUGCGCCCCUUGGUAUCCCGAGGGGCAUGCCUGUUCGAGCGUCAUUUCACCACUCAAGCCUGGCUUGGUGUUGGGCGACGCCCUCUUUGGGGACGCGCCUCGAAACGCUCGGCGGCGUGGCACCGGCUUUAAGCGUAGCAGAAUCUUUCGCUUUGGAAGUCGGGGCCCCGUCUGCCGGAAGACCUGCUCGCAAGGUUGACCUCGGAUCAGGCAGGGAUACCCGCUGAACUUAAGCAUAUCAAUAAGCGGAGGA